AGUGAACGCUGGCGGUAGGCCUAACACAUGCAAGUCGAACGGCAGCACAGUAAGAGCUUGCUCUUACGGGUGGCGAGUGGCGGACGGGUGAGGAAUACAUCGGAAUCUACUUUUUCGUGGGGGAUAACGUAGGGAAACUUACGCUAAUACCGCAUACGACCUACGGGUGAAAGCAGGGGAUCUUCGGACCUUGCGCGAUUGAAUGAGCCGAUGUCGGAUUCGCUAGUUGGCGGGGUAAAGGCCCACCAGGGCGACGAUCCGUAGCUGGUCUGAGAGGAUGAUCAGCCACACUGGAACUGAGACACGGUCCAGACUCCUACGGGAGGCAGCAGUGGGGAAUAUUGGACAAUGGGCGCAAGCCUGAUCCAGCCAUACCGCGUGGGUGAAGAAGGCCUUCGGGUUGUAAAGCCCUUUUGUUGGGAAAGAAAAGCAGCAGGUUAAUACCCCGCUGUUCUGACGGUACCCAAAGAAUAAGCACCGGCUAACUUCGUG
rnacentral:rRNA from 1 species